UACGUAGGGACCAAGCGUUGUCCGGAAUCAUUGGGCGUAAAGCGCGUGUAGGCGGCUCGGUAAGUCCGCUCUGAAAGUCCAGGGCUCAACCCUGGGAUGCGGGUGGAUACUGCCGGGCUCGAGUCCGGAAGAGGCGAGUGGAAUUCCCGGUGUAGCGGUGAAAUGCGCAGAUAUCGGGAGGAACACCAAUGGCGAAGGCAGCUCGCUGGGACGUGACUGACGCUGAGACGCGAAAGCGUGGGGAGCAAACAGG
rnacentral:rRNA from 1 species